rnacentral:lncRNA from 1 species
CUUUUUCAGACAUCGACGAAUGUUCACAAGCAAACAUGUGUCACGCUGACGCAACAUGUACUAAUACACCAGGAUCAUACCUAUGCACUUGCAACACUGGUUACACAGGCAAUGGAACGUAUUGCGUAGGUCAGUAAAGAACAAUAAAAUAAAUGAAUGAAAAUAUUAAACGGGAAAUGGGAAAAUUAAAUGGGAAAACUUAGAUUCCAGACGACGAGGUAUGAGCAAGGUUACAUUAUUAUAUAAAAUUCUCAACGACUUUCGUGCGCCAAAUUUGAAAGAGUUAUUGAUGAGGAGGAAUUCUUUAGAAACUAAUUGUGACUCAGAAAUUGUCACACUGAUCUGACCCUUCGUAAACCGAGACGCAAGUUUCUUGAAAAGCUUUAAGUACAGUGGCGGUAAACUUUGGAAUAAUCUUCCGCCCACAGCUAAGAAAGCGCAAUCAAUUUACUCUUUCAAAAACUCUGUAAAUUAAUUUCAUGGUUUGAUAGAAACAACUAUAGUUCUUAAUAUACGACAGAAUCACACCAAUUUAAUUGAAUAUUUUUUAAAAUCUCUUGUAAAAAGCUAUAUAUCUUUGUAACUAACUUUUACUUGUGCUAGUGACACCCUUGUGGAAAUGAACUAUUGCUCUUGACAAGGCUAGCGUCAUUAUAUAAAGCUUUACAUACAUACACACAUGUAUACGCACAUACACACUUAAUGUUGUAAUAACUACACAUCCAAGUAACUAUAACUAAGAGUGUCGGUUGGCGAGCACCUUACGGCUUGGUUAAGCCUGCUUCUAUAGGUCAAGGGCAGAUUUUCGACGAGCCAGUGGCGCGAAGCGCCUUUUUAGUGGGAGCCUAGGACGAGUGUAGUAAUUCCGCACGACAAUUCACACUCCUGUACUUAAGCUUUUAUUUUAUAUCUAUGUUGCUGUGUUUCAGUAUAUCUUGUGAAUUUCAAUUUCGUAAAAUAUUUUUAGAAAUGUAAAAAACAUCUUUUCGAUUUCUUACUCUCUGUAACUGAUUUGGACAAACGUUACUGCCACGGGGCAAUAUCAAUUCCUAAAUUACUAAUGAUUUAGCCCUUUCCUAAUUACUUGAUAUAUUUGAAUAUGUUGGGGGUAAAGUUCAUUGUUUCUUUUCUCAUCAUUUUCCCAGAGACGCUUAACCCACAAAUAUGUUGGGGAAUUUUCCGUUUGGCAGUGAGGAAAUUUCUCUUACUUUCUGAGCAUGCUAAUUGUUUUGGAAAAUUGAAUUAAUUCUUCUUUUUCAGACAUCGACGAAUGUUCACAAGCAAACAUGUGUCACGCUAACGCAACAUGUACUAAUACACCAGGAUCAUACCUAUGCACUUGCAACACUGGUUACACAGGCAAUGGAACGUAUUGCGUAGGUCAGUAAAGAACAAUAAAAUAAAUGAAUGAAAAUAUUAAAAGGGAAAUGGGAAAAUUAAAGGGAA